UCCCAUGUGGUCUAGUGGCUAGGAUAGCUGGCUUUCACCCAGCAGGCCCGGGUUCGAUUCCCGGCAUGGGAA
rfam:Pediculus humanus corporis strain TSDA 1103172078336, whole genome shotgun sequence.